AUGCGAUGCCGGCGAAGCUCCGGUGGCCCUAUGCAGCACCAACAGAGCUCAACACCCCCCGACGGCGAUGCUACGAUAGGUGGUCAGUUGCAGACCGACGACAAGCCUCGGACGGCGGUGCUGCACUGCGGCGCGAAAAAAAACUCCGAUGCAGCACCAUCGACGUCCCCCGCGAAGAUCCAUUGCAGCCGCGACGGAGCUCCAACGACUCCGGCGGCGCUCCACUGCAGCCCCGGGUGUGCUCCAUUGCAGCCGCGUCGGAGCUCCGACGACCUGGCAGCGCUCCAUUGCAGCCGCGGUGGAGCACCAACGACUCCCCAACGGCGCUCCAUUGUAGCUCCUGCGAUGCAGCGCGCGACGACGAGCAAAAACGAUGACGUUGCAAGGCCGGUGGCGAGCUGCGCGAUGCGGGUCAUCAACUACUACUAG
rnacentral:rRNA from 1 species